ensembl:lncRNA
GCUGUCUGUCCUCCAUCCUGAGAUGGGCCGACUGUCCCUCCAUUCUGAGAUGGGCUGUCUGUCCCUCCAUCCUGAGAUGGGCUGUCUGUCCCUCCAACCUGAGAUGGGCUGUCUGUCCCUCCAACCUGAGAUGGGCUGUCUGUCCUCCAUCCUGAGAUGGGCUGUCUGUCCUCCAUCCUGAGAUGGGCUGUCUGUCCCUCCAUCCUGAGAUGGGCUGUCUGUCCUCCAUCCUGAGAUGGGCUGUCUGUCCUCCAUCCUGAGAUGGGCCGACUGUCCCUCCAUUCUGAGAUGGGCUGUCUGUCCCUCCAUCCUGAGGUGGGCUGUCUGUCCCACCAUCCUGAGAUGGGUCGUCUGGCCCGCUUUCCUGAGAUGGGUCGUCAGUCCCCACCCUGAGCAUUAAUGAUUCAUCAUUCAGAGGCCGUAGAGAUGGGUUGUCAGUCCCCACCCUGAGCAUUAAUGAUUCAUCAUUCAGAGGCCGUAGAGAAGCCAGAUUUAGACAUCACAUGUAAUGUAACAAUUCCAUUUCACGCCCUGCUGUUCAUAUAAAUACUUUAUUAUAAUUUACUGGUUUCUCUCAGUUAUUUAUCCUGGGAAAGGGGAGUUGUUUGGGCGGUAAAUCUCAGUAAAUGGGUUUCCGCCAUUCAAUCUUGAUCCUAAUGUUCAGAAUGAAUUGUCAAUCAGUUAAGCAGAAGCCAAGGAGUUGAUUAAAAAAACUGGUUAAAAAUAAAUGGAAACAGUUGUGGAACAGGAAGGGAAGAGGAAGAGGAAGAGACCUGUAUAAGAUCCAGGAAAAGGUUGUGGAACAGGAAGAGGAAGAGACCUGUAUAAGAUCCAGGAAAAGGUGGGAACAGGAAGGGAAGAGGAAGAGACCUGUAUAAGAUCCAGGAAAAGGUGGGAACAGGAAGGGAAAAGGAAGAGACCUGUAUAAGAUCCAGGAAAAGGUUGUGGAACAGGAAGAGGAAGAGACCUGUAUAAGAUCCAGGAAAAGGUUGUGGAACAGGAAGAGGAAGAGACCUGUAUAAGAUCCAGGAAAAGGUGGGAACAGGAAGAGGAAGAGACCUGUAUAAGAUCCAGGAAAAGGUGGGAACAGGAGGGGAAGAGACCUGUAUAAGAUCCAGGAAAAGGUGGGAACAGGAGGGGAAGAGACCUGUAUAAGAUCCAGG